rnacentral:rRNA from 1 species
CCUACGGGUGGCAGCAGUGAGGAAUAUUGGUCAAUGGGCGCGAGCCUGAACCAGCCAAGUAGCGUGAAGGAUGACUGCCCUACGGGUUGUAAACUUCUUUUAUGAAGGAAUAAAGUGAGGCACGUGUGCCCGUUUGUAUGUACUUUAUGAAUAAGGAUCGGCUAACUCCGUGCCAGCAGCCGCGGUAAUACGGAGGAUCCGAGCGUUGUCCGGAUUUAUUGGGUUUAAAGGGUGCGUAGAUGGGUUGUUAAGUCAGUUGUGAAAGUUUGCGGGUCAACCUGCAAAUUGCAGUUGAUACUGGCAGUCUUGAGUACAGUUGAGGUAGGCGGAAUGCGUGGUGUAGCGGUGAAAUGCUUAGAUAUCACGCAGAACUCCGAUUGUGAAGGCAGCUUACCAAACUGCUACUGACGUUGAUGCACGAAAGUGUGGGUAUCAAACAGGAUUAGAUACCCGUGUAGUC